UACAGAGGGUGCUAGCGUUGUUCGGAAUCAUUGGGCGUAAAGGGCGUGUAGGCGGUUUGUUAAGUCAUGUGUGAAAUCCCUCGGCUCAACCGGGGAACGACGCAUGAAACUGGCAAGCUAGAGUACCAAAGAGGGGGGUGGAAUUCCCGGUGUAGCGGUGAAAUGCGUAGAUAUCGGGAGGAAGACCAGUGGCGAAGGCGGGUCUCUGGACAGUUCCUGACGCUGAGGCACGAAGGCCAGGGGAGCAAACGGG
rnacentral:rRNA from 1 species